AGCCCGCGCCCCGUAAAACGGGACGGCCCGCCAGAGGACCCAAACUCUAAUGUUUCUUAUUGUAACUUCUGAGUAAAACAAACAAAUAAAUCAAAACUUUCAACAACGGAUCUCUUGGUUCUGGCAUCGAUGAAGAACGCAGCAAAAUGCGAUAAGUAAUGUGAAUUGCAGAAUUCAGUGAAUCAUCGAAUCUUUGAACGCACAUUGCGCCCGCUGGUAUUCCGGCGGGCAUGCCUGUUCGAGCGUCAUUUCAACCCUCAAGCCCUCGGGUUUGGUGUUGGGGAUCGGCUCUGCCUUCUGGCGGUGCCGCCCCCGAAAUACAUUGGCGGUCUCGCUGCAGCCUCCAUUGCGUAGUAGCUAACACCUCGCAACUGGAACGCGGCGCGGCCAUGCCGUAAAACCCCAACUUCUGAAUGUUGACCUCGGAUCAGGUAGGAAUACCCGCUGAACUUAAGCAUAUCAAU
rnacentral:rRNA from 1 species